UCGAGAUAGAGUAAAUAUGGUCCAAUUAAAAGGUGUCUAUUUUACCACAUUUUUUAAAACAAAACACAAAAACAAAAAAGAUGGAAAAGAAGACAGGGGUACAGGCACCAGUGUUACAUGUCUGACGGGGAACAUCUAUUCUUCAAAGCUUGCAGCUGUACACGUAGGUUUUAGAAUGUCUGUCAGCAGUGGACAUGAUCUUAGAGUGGGCUGUGCAGAUAGACCUUUCCAGGUCAUGUAAUUGGAUUAAGUUAAGUGUAAUUAACGUACAUGUAACUGAUUAGGUUAGGGUACGUUCCACGUCAGGUGACCAGAGGCAGUAUAAAAGGCCGCCUGGAAAGUAGAGGUCCCUCUCUGCCCCUUCCUCCGUCUUCCUGGAUGCUGCAUCGCUUCCAGCGGGGCUGCUCCAGCACCUGCCCAUCUCAGCGCCAGCCGGGGAAAGAAAGUAGACGUGUAAUUUCAGGUUAGUUUCACUGAACAGUUGUUUGUUUCACGCAAUCCCUGAGGGGUGGGGGGGAAAAGAGACAAAGGAGGCCGAAAGAAAGCGAUCACACUGGGGCUUGCUGAUGGGGUAGGGUGUGCUCUCGUUACUAGUAAUUCUUGGAACAGAAAACGAGAAAGCAUUUCCGUCUCCAUGUGUGGGAUAAGACCAAGGUGGGAAUGCGAAAAGAAAUGUACUGCAGCAUGCUGAAUUGGUGGGUAAAUGGAAAAAGGACUUUGGAAAAAAGGGUGGUUUGCCCUUCAGCCGUGUAAGACGUCGAUACGAUAUGGCACUUGUUCACCGUUUGUUUAGAUGAAUUCGUGUGGCAUGUGUAAAAUACCAGAAAAAUAAAUAAAGAGGGGCUGGAGCUAAAGCCAAAAAGAUAGAACAGGAAAGACCAUCACCUGCUAGUGUGGUAGAGAGGAAGAUAACUUCUCUCUAUGAAUUUGUGUUUGGAAGUUGCCUAAUGAAAUGGCA
rnacentral:lncRNA from 1 species